UUUUAAUUGGAAACUCGUAUGAAGGGUUGGACAAAGGAUAAUCUGUUUUUAUUUUUAUUUUUGAAUUUAUCUUUUAAGUGAAAAGACUUGAAUAUAUUUAAGGGACGAUAAGACCCUAUAAAUCUUUAUAUUUAACUUAAUGUUUAUAUUGAUUUUUAAUGUAAAUAUAAAAUAAAGAUUAAUAAUGUUAUGUUGGGGUGACAAGAAUAAAAAAUAAACUGUUCUAAAAAUAAACAAAGUUAUUUGAUUAAUAAUAGAUCCUUUUUAAAGAUAUAAGUUUAAGUUACUUUAGGGAUAACAGCGUUAUUUCUUUUGAGAGUUCAAAUCGAAAAAGAAGUUUGCGACCUCGAUGUUGAAUUAAAAUUUCUUUAUAGUGCAGCAGUUAUACAAGAAAGUCUGUUCGACUUUUAAAAUUUUACGUGAUCU
rnacentral:rRNA from 1 species